rnacentral:tRNA from 1 species
GCCUGGGUGGCUCAGUCGGUUGAGCGUCUGACUUUGGCUCGGGUCGUGAUCUUGCAGUUUGUGAGUUCGAGCCCCGCGUCAGGCU